rnacentral:rRNA from 1 species
AGAACGAACGCUGGCGGCAUGCCUAAUACAUGCAAGUCGAACGAACACUUCGGUGUUAGUGGCGCACGGGUGCGUAACGCGUGGGAAUCUGCCCUUGGGUUCGGAAUAACAGUUGGAAACGACUGCUAAUACCGGAUGAUAUCGAAAGAUCAAAGAUUUAUCGCCCAGGGAUGAGCCCGCGUAGGAUUAGCUAGUUGGUGAGGUAAAGGCCCACAAGGCGACGAUCCUUAGCUGGUCUGAGAGGAUGAUCAGCCACACUGGGACUGAGACACGGCCCAGACUCCUACGGGAGCAGCAGUAGGGAAUAUGGACAAUGGGCGCAAGCCUGAUCCAGCAAUGCCGCGUGAGUGAUGAAGGCCUUAGGGUGUAAAGCUCUUUACCGAGAUGAUAAUGACAGUAUCGGAGAAUAAGCCCCGGAUAACUCCGUGCCAGCAGCCGC